AUGCAGGGCAGUGCGAGAAGGAUGGGCGUUAUGACUGAUGUCCAUCGGCGAUUCCUGCAAUUACUGAUGACUCAUGGUGUGCUGGAGGAGUGGGAAGUUCAGCGCUUGCAGAAACACUGCUACAAGGUCCAUGACCGCAAUGCUACUGUGGAGAAUUUGGAGGAUUUCAUCAACAACAUUAACAGUGUCUUGGAGUCCUUGUACAUUGAGAUAAAGAAAGGAGUCACCGAAGAUGAUGGGAGGCCCAUUUACGCUCUGGUGAACCUGGCUACAACUUCAGUUUCUAAAAUGGCCACAGAUUUUGCUGAGAACGAGCUGGACCUGUUCCGAAAGGCUUUGGAGUUGAUUAUUGACUCAGAGACUGGCUUCGCUUCUUCCACAAACAUUUUGAACAUGGUCGAUCAACUUAAGGGCAAGAAGAUGAGGAAGAAGGAAGCCGAGCAGGUGCUACAGAAGUUCGUACAAAGCAAAUGGCUGAUUGAGAAGGAAGGGGAGUUCACCCUGCAUGGCCGGGCCAUCCUGGAGAUGGAGCAGUAUAUCCGGGAGACUUACCCUGAUGCUGUGAAGAUCUGUGACAUCUGCCAUAGCCUCCUCAUCCAGGGUCAAAGCUGCGAAACCUGUGGGAUCAGGAUGCACUUACCCUGCGUGGCCAAGUACUUCCGGUCGAAUUCCGAGCCACGCUGCCCGCACUGUAAUGACUACUGGCCCCACGAGAUCCCAGCCACCGACUUCCGAGUCCACAUUCCUCUGAAGCUGGAGCCAGCCUUCCAGCUGCUUGAGGCAGCCGAAUCUUGAUACCAUGUCCUGACGGAUGUUGCCUCCAGCACCCAACUUGAGAACCACACUCCAUCAUGAUGACCGACUUCUCUUCAGCAGCAGCUCAGGCAGAAGUGGGGCCUGCCAGCUGGAACAGGUAGUGCCAGGAUGGCCAUCCCUGUAGGCACAUCUGUGACUACUCUUCUGCUAUUUCCUUGGAUGGGUGUCUAUUAAUAAGAUCAUCAGACCCAGAGGCAUGCAUGAAGUGUUCAAGGUUCUUGGUUUGCUGACCUUCUGCCAAGCUGAAGUCCUGCCAGCAGGAUCCUGAGUGCGAGAGCUGGAAACACCUUGGCUAAUUUAGCAGGAAUCUGUCUUACUUUGCAUAUCUUUGAGUAUUAGUGAACUGUAAUUUGUUUUUUGGUUUAUUAAAAAGCUUUUCAAUGUUC